rnacentral:rRNA from 1 species
UAAUAAAUUGGCAAAAAGGUUAAUAUGAUUAUUUUGUAAUCAUAUAAUUACUUUGAAAAAAAUAGAGUGCUUAAAGCAAAACAUUUGUUAAUGAAUAAUGAAGCAUGGGACAAUGCUAAGGAGAUUCUUUUAGAAUUUCGAGAAAAGGAUUAAGAGGAAUAAUUGGGGUGAUUCAGAAAAUUUUGGGAGAGGUGAAAAUCCAUGAUCAAAAUAAGAUGAACGAGAGCGAAAGCAUUUCACUCAGUUAUAUCCAUUAAUCAAGAACGAAAGUUAGGGGAUCGAAGACGAUCAGAUACCGUCGUAGUCCUAACUAUAAACGAUGUCAACCAAGGAUUGGAUAAAUUAACGAAAUUAUUUCGGUUUAAUUCAACGAAUUAAACUAGAAAUGUUUCACUACUAACCUUAUUCAGAACUUAAAGAGAAAUCUUGAGUUAAUAGACUUCAGGGGGAGUAUGGUCACAAGGCUGAAACUUAAAGGAAUUGACGGAAGGGCACACCAGGAGUGGAGCCUGCGGCUUAAUUUGACUCAACA